rnacentral:rRNA from 1 species
GACGAACGCUGGCGGCGUGCUUAACACAUGCAAGUCGAACGGUGAAGCGCCUUCCUUUUUGGUGGGUGUGGAUGAGUGGCGAACGGGUGAGUAACACGUGAGUAACCUGCCCCCUUCUUCUGGAUAACCGCAUGAAAGUGUGGCUAAUACGGGAUAUUCUGGGUCUGUCGCAUGAUGGGUCUGGGAAAGAUAUUGUUUCGGUGGGGGAUGGGCUCGCGGCCUAUCAGCUUGUUGGUGGGGUGAUGGCCUACCAAGGCGGUGACGGGUAGCCGGCCUGAGAGGGUGGACGGGCACACUGGGACUGAGACACGGCCCAGACUCCUACGGGAGGCAGCAGGGGGGAAUAUUGCACAAUGGGCGCAAGCCUGAUGCAGCGACGCCGCGUGAGGGAUGGAGGCCUUCGGGUUGUGAACCUCUUUCGCCAGUGAAGCAGGCCUGCCUCGUUUGUGGGUGGGUUGACGGUAGCUGGAGAAGAAGCGCCGGCUAACUACGUG